UCAAAGCAAUAGAAAUCCUAAGACAGUAAGUGGGCAGGAAAGCUCUGUGUUAGUUACUCUUUAAUUGCUGUGGUAAAACUUGCAACCAAGGAAACUUAGAGAGGGUUUAUGUCAGUUUGCAGUUCCAGAGGAAUAAGAGCCUCAUGGCAGAGAAGCGUGACAGCAAGCAGAAGCAGGAAGCUGAGGGCUCACAUCUGGAACCAUAUGUCAAAGCAUAGGGGGAAAACUGGAAAUGACAAGAUCCUAGUGAUAUAUACUUUCUCCAACAAGCCAAACCUUCUGGAUCUCUCCAAACAGUGCCACCAGCUGAACCAAGUAUUCAAAUGUCAGAUCCUAUGGGGGUCAUUCUCAGUCAAUCCACAAGCAUCCACUGGCUCAGUUCACCUCAAUACUAUUGUCAUUGUAACUUUGAGGAAUAUGUACACUUAGUUUUCCAUAAACAGCUCAUCAAUUCAUUGAUAUAUAUACUCCAAAAAGCAAUUGAUAUAAUCUUGUAAGUCCUAACUUGUUUUUACAAGUUGUUCCAAUUCCCUCCCACUCUCUCUCUUUCCAUUCCCAGAACUCCUUAGAAGGGCACCUCCCUUUGCUGGACCACACCCUUGGCUUGUGCAUAGGCUUCUAUCAAUUAUGUGCUAACCUGACACAAAAUCCGACAUUACUUUGGGUAUCGCAUUUCUAAUAGACCUCCACGUAUAUCAGUGACAAAUUGUUUAUAGGUUUUGGUAAUUCAAUGAUUAUUUAAAGUAAAUGCCUAGACAUGAAAACUUUGAAUGUGGGAAAUCCUAAAGAUUACACAUUUUUAAAAAGAAAGCAGUGGUUCCUUGAACUUGGCAAGGAUUCUAAAAAUGUAUAGGAAAUGACCCAAUGUCUUGAUGCUGGAAGUUGUCAAUAAAUGGGAUUAUUUGCUAGUGGUUGGAGGCCACCCUGAUGUGGAUGGUCUGAAGUGUCUUUCCAUACUUGCUCAUUAUUCUAUGCAACAAAAGUGGCAAAACAUACAUUAAAGUUGUUAUGGAUGAACAAUGAAAUCUCCCUUGUAGGUUUACGUCGUGAGGGUUGAGUUGCCAUCCGAUGGGGUCUGGGAAAUAAAUGCAUUGCAAAAGCUUUGAAGGAUAGAUGACUCCAUUGGUGAGGCUAAAAAUCUGAAAGGACUAUUUGGAGAUGGAAAAAUGGACCUGGUAGGAAGAAUGGGGUGACUGGGGUGUCCCUGUAGGAUGUAUCUUACUUCAGCCUGUGAUGCCUCAUCUUUGCUCUUUAUCUACCAUAGAGUUGAGCACUUUUCUAUGCUUCUCUUCCAUGAUGUCUCUGCCUUGCCCUUGGGCUUAAAGGAAGGGAGACAACCUGCUACAGACUGGAAAGCUCAGAAUCUCUGGCCUGGACCAACAUGCCUAAAAGCUGUCUACUAAAUCAACAAGCCUCUGAUAAGAGUGGUCACGAAUAAACAUUAUGUUCAGGUCUCCUUCCAGGAAUGCUUGCAGACCAUGUGGAAGCAAAAAUUCUUGGAAUUGCAAUGCCAGGAAAAACCUGUCUUAUCUGUCAGUGCCAGAAAAAUUAAGGAACAGUGCAGCUGAUUGGCAUAAUUUAUUUCUGACAUGGGAAAGCCUCAGUCAGGAAGGAUUUUACCACUGCAGAGAACAUUGCCAGUCUGAAAAUAAGCUUAUGAAGUAAAGGAGAGAUAGAAUUAGAGAGCAGCCGUCAAGCUUCCAAUAGAAAGGAAGAAAACAGAUCCAGUAUGAUAACGAUUUUUUGGAGGAUCUGCAGGCCAACUUUUAAUUUGACCAAAACACAAAUUAAAAAAAAAAAACACAGAAAGUGUCAUAAUCGAUCAAGGGAAUUUAUGAACCAGAACAACCACCAUGGUAAGGAAGAGGAUAAAUUGUACCUUUUGUCUUAAAAGGUAUGGAGCCAGUGCCUUCUGGAGACAAGGAGUUUAUCCCGAGUCACUCAUCCAAGUGAACUGCAGUAAUCCUCAGUAAGGAGGGACAGAAAGGUGACCUGGAAAACUUGUGACUCCAAGGGAAACCAAGCACUGACACUACACCUGGCCUCUGGCAACCUCUGGCCUCUGGAACAUGGGCUUUUCCUCCAUCCGUCAGAUGGGCAGUCUCCUGGGUGCCAAGUGAGCCACACCUCCACACUUCUCACGAACUUAUUUUUCUCUAUCAAACACAAAGAGGAGUCUCACAAUCUUGGAUGCCCUCAAGUGUUUCCAUUUCUCCUUUCCGCUCUAUCAAUUUGGAGAGCUUAGUUAUCAGUCAUUCUCACAGCUGGUGCAUACAAAAAGGAGGAGGGAAGGAAGCUGUGUUGGGAGAGGCAGUUUAUGAGAUCCAAGAGCUGAAUGACUCCCAUGGAUUUUGGACCUGUUCUGCUUCAGGAAGAGACCCAUUGACGAGACAAGGUUGUUCGCAUACCUGGGUGAUGAAGACAGCCAUGGGCCA
rnacentral:sRNA from 1 species